GCGUCGGUAGUCUAAUGGAUCAGCACGGUAGACCGGAUAUCUGUUAAGUGCGGGUUCGAGUUCCGCCUGAGGUU
rnacentral:tRNA from 1 species